rnacentral:snRNA from 1 species
AGAUAUGAGGGCACUCUGACUGUGAUAUCUGUUACCCUGUUGAUAGGGUUGAUGCGGCUGAUCCUACUGGCUGGAUGGGUAUCCUCUUGUUCCCUCACCAUUCUGUGUGUGUCCCUCAUGAAGCUGUAUGUUUGAAGAGGACAACCUUCCCUGAUGGAGGAGGACCAUUCUUUGCUCGAGGGUAUACAAAUAGCUGUACUUCCCUGCUAGAUCCUCCAAACAAGGUCCAUUUGUAGGAGAAUGUAGGGUAGUCAAGUUUCUAGAUUCCAGACACAUCCAAAUGAGGUACUGCAUGUGGCAGUCUGCCUUUCU